rnacentral:rRNA from 1 species
UGGCGAACGGGUGAGUAACACGUAGGUGAUCUGCCCAUCAGACGGGGACAACGAUUGGAAACGAUCGCUAAUACCGGAUAGGACGAAGUUUAAAGAUGCUCCUGGCAUCACUGAUGGAUGAGCCUGCGGCGCAUUAGCUAGUUGGUGGGGUAAAGGCCUACCAAGGCGACGAUGCGUAGCCGACCUGAGAGGGUGAACGGCCACACUGGGACUGAGACACGGCCCAGACUCCUACGGGAGGCAGCAG